AGAGUUUGAUCCUGGCUCAGGACGAACGCUGGCGGCGUGCCUAAUACAUGCAAGUAGAACGCACAGUAUAUACCGUAGCUUGCUACACCAUAGACUGUGAGUUGCGAACGGGUGAGUAACGCGUAGGUAACCUGCCUGGUAGCGGGGGAUAACUAUUGGAAACGAUAGCUAAUACCGCAUAAAAUGGAUUAUCGCAUGAUAAUCCAUUGAAAGGUGCAAUUGCAUCACUACCAGAUGGACCUGCGUUGUAUUAGCUAGUUGGUGAGGUAACGGCUCACCAAGGCGACGAUACAUAGCCGACCUGAGAGGGUGAUCGGCCACACUGGGACUGAGACACGGCCCAGACUCCUACGGGAGGCAGCAGUAGGGAAUCUUCGGCAAUGGGGGCAACCCUGACCGAGCAACGCCGCGUGAGUGAAGAAGGUUUUCGGAUCGUAAAGCUCUGUUGUAAGAGAAGAACGAGUGUGAGAGUGGAAAGUUCACACUGUGACGGUAUCUUACCAGAAAGGGACGGCUAACUACGUGCCAGCAGCCGCGGUAAUACGUAGGUCCCGAGCGUUGUCCGGAUUUAUUGGGCGUAAAGCGAGCGCAGGCGGUUAGAUAAGUCUGAAGUUAAAGGCUGUGGCUUAACCAUAGUACGCUUUGGAAACUGUUUAACUUGAGUGCAGAAGGGGAGAGUGGAAUUCCAUGUGUAGCGGUGAAAUGCGUAGAUAUAUGGAGGAACACCAGUGGCGAAAGCGGCUCUCUGGUCUGUCACUGACGCUGAGGCUCGAAAGCGUGGGUAGCGAACAGGAUUAGAUACCCUGGUAGUCCACGCCGUAAACGAUGAGUGCUAGGUGUUAGACCCUUUCCGGGGUUUAGUGCCGCAGCUAACGCAUUAAGCACUCCGCCUGGGGAGUACGACCGCAAGGUUGAAACUCAAAGGAAUUGACGGGGGCCCG
rnacentral:rRNA from 1 species